AACGAACGCUGGCGGCAUGCCUAACACAUGCAAGUCGAACGAGACCUUCGGGUCUAGUGGCGCACGGGUGCGUAACGCGUGGGAACCUGCCCUUAGGUUCGGAAUAACUCCCCGAAAGGGGUGCUAAUACCGGAUAAUGUCUUCGGCCCAAAGAUUUAUCGCCUUUGGAUGGGCCCGCGUUGGAUUAGCUAGUUGGUAGGGUAAAAGCCUACCAAGGCGACGAUCCAUAGCUGGUCUGAGAGGAUGAUCAGCCACACUGGGACUGAGACACGGCCCAGACUCCUACGGGAGGCAGCAGUGGGGAAUAGUGGACAAUGGGCGAAAGCCUGAUCCAGCAAGGCCGCGUGAGUGAUGAAGGCCGUAGGGUUGUAAAGCUCUUUUAACCGGGAUGAUAAUGACAGUACCGGGAGAAUAAGCUCCGGCUAACUCCGUG
rnacentral:rRNA from 1 species